CCUACGGGAGGCAGCAGUGAGGAAUAUUGGUCAAUGGACGAGAGUCUGAACCAGCCAAGUAGCGUGAAGGAUGACUGCCCUAUGGGUUGUAAACUUCUUUUAUAAAGGAAUAAAACGAGGCACGUGUGCCUUUUUGCAUGUACUUUAUGAAUAAGGAUCGGCUAACUCCGUGCCAGCAGCCGCGGUAAUACGGAGGAUCCGAGCGUUAUCCGGAUUUAUUGGGUUUAAAGGGAGCGUAGAUGGGUUGUUAAGUCAGUUGUGAAAGUUUGCGGUUCAACCGUAAAAUUGCAAUUGAUACUGGCAGUCUUGAGUACAGUUGAGGUAAGCGGAAUUCGUGGUGUAGCGGUGAAAUGCUUAGAUAUCACGAAGAACCCCGAUUGCGAAGGCAGCUUACUAAACUGUGACUGACAUUGAUGCUCGAAAGCGUGGGUAGCAAACAGGAUUAGAUACCCUAGUAGUC
rnacentral:rRNA from 1 species